AUAGCUCCCUCAACCACAUCUGAUUGUUUUUUGCAGGGGUGUGUCCUCCCUGACUCCCAUCUCGCAAAUGAUUUGCCUUCCCCCUUGGAGGUCGAUGCCCUUCAGGAGAAAUGUGUAAAGCCAGCGUGGAUUCAUGAAAUGUUUACUGAAGGAAUGGAAAGCCCAGCUUGGUGGGGUGCUCCUGCCUCUGGACUGGCCAGCUCCUCACUGUCUCACAAGGUGAGACAUUAUUAUUACUCUUACAAGUGUUUCCUGACCUGCCAGGCUCUAUCCUAGCCCUGGGGGUACAGUGGUGGAUGAGCCGGUCUCUGCUUCUGUGGAGGCAGGUGGGGUACAUGUGGGUUAGCUCAUAAUAAAGGGGUGCGGCAAGUGCAGAGAUGGGAGCACCCUGGGUGCUGCAAGAGGGCCAUCUGACCCAGCCUAGAAGGGGCAGCCAGGCAAGAGGACAGUGGGGAGAGGAUGGGCACAUCACAUGGAAGGGACGGCAUCAACGAAGGUCUGGGUUGGGACCACAGUGUGGAGCCUUCAGGAUGAGGCAUCACAGAGAUGGCUCAUAACCACCCGGUGACCUCCAGCAGAGACACGCCAGGAAGGCAGGAAGGGGCCGUGCAGCAGGAUCAUGUUCUGGACUAGAAAGUACGUCUGCUCAUUACCCGACCUUUGCUAAGUACACCAACUAAUGGAGCGAGAGACAUGAAAGAUCUUCACAGGCCAUGUGGAAAUGUAAUUCAAACCCAGCCCGAGGAGGUCACAGUAAGUUAGAUUAAUUUUCAUCCAGCCUUUCCUUACAGAGCUAACCUUUGCCUUACAGGAAAGUUCUUUAAAAAGAGAUAAGUCAGUGUUUGUUUGGCAUUUGAAGGCGUUUUAAUCCUAGCAACCCUGUUGGAAGUGUCCCCAUUCUGGGGGGACUCAGCCCAGGUUACUAUUUAUUGAUCCUUUACAUCAGAGAUAAUUGUCCUGGGUUUGAAAUCUAUCAAGUAUUGGAAAUUCAAAUUAAGC
rnacentral:lncRNA from 12 species